rnacentral:tRNA from 1 species
UCAACUAAAACCAAACCAGAGGUAUACCACUGUUAAUGGUACCAUUGAAAUUUUAUUUCUAGUUGAG